rnacentral:rRNA from 1 species
CCUACGGGAGGCAGCAGUGAGGAAUAUUGGUCAAUGGACGAGAGUCUGAACCAGCCAAGUAGCGUGAAGGAUGACUGCCCUAUGGGUUGUAAACUUCUUUUAUAAAGGAAUAAAACGAGGCACGUGUGCCUUUUUGCAUGUACUUGAUGAAUAAGGAUCGGCUAACUCCGUGCCAGCAGCCGCGGUAAUACGGAGGAUCCGAGCGUUAUCCGGAUUUAUUGGGUUUAAAGGGAGCGUAGAUGGGUUGUUAAGUCAGUUGUGAAAGUUUGCGGCUCAACCGUAAAAUUGCAAUUGAUACUGGCAGUUUUGAGUACAGUUGAGGUAGGCGGAAUUCGUGGUGUAGCGGUGAAAUGCUUAGAUAUCACGAAGAACACCAGUGGCGAAGGCGGCAGCCUGGCCUGUUACUGACGCUGAGGCACGAAAGCGUGGGGAGCAAAUAGGAUUAGAUACCCUUGUAGUC